GACGAACGCUGGCGGCGUGCUUAACACAUGCAAGUCGAACGGUAAGGCCCUUCGGGGUACACGAGUGGCGAACGGGUGAGUAACACGUGGGUGAUCUGCCCUGCACUUCGGGAUAAGCCUGGGAAACUAGGUCUAAUACCGGAUAGGACCCUGGGAUGCAUGUCCUGGGGUGGAAAGCUUUUGCGGUGUGGGAUGGGCCCGCGGCCUAUCAGCUUGUUGGUGGGGUGAUGGCCUACCAAGGCGACGACGGGUAGCCGGCCUGAGAGGGUAACCGGCCACACUGGGACUGAGAUACGGCCCGGACUCCUACGGGAGGCAGCAGUGGGGAAUAUUGCACAAUGGGCGCAAGCCUGAUGCAGCGACGCCGCGUGAGGGAUGACGGCCUUCGGGUUGUAAACCUCUUUCAGCACCGACGAAGCGCGAGUGACGGUAGGUGCAGAAGAAGGACCGGCCAACUACGUGCCAGCAGCCGCCGUAA
rnacentral:rRNA from 1 species